rnacentral:rRNA from 1 species
AGCGAACGCUGGCGGCAGGCUUAACACAUGCAAGUCGAGCGGACACUUUCGGGUGUCAGCGGCGGACGGGUGAGUAACGCGUGGGAACGUGCCCUCUGGUUCGGAAUAACUCAGGGAAACUUGAGCUAAUACCGGAUACGCCCUUUUGGGGAAAGGCUUGCUGCCGGAGGAUCGGCCCGCGUCUGAUUAGCUAGUUGGUGAGGUAACGGCUCACCAAGGCGACGAUCAGUAGCUGGUCUGAGAGGAUGAUCAGCCACACUGGGACUGAGACACGGCCCAGACUCCUACGGGAGGCAGCAGUGGGGAAUAUUGGACAAUGGGCGCAAGCCUGAUCCAGCCAUGCCGCGUGAGUGAUGAAGGCCUUAGGGUUGUAAAGCUCUUUUAUCCGGGACGAUAAUGACGGUACCGGAGGAAUAAGCCCCGGCUAACUUCGUG